rnacentral:ribozyme from 1 species
UGCGUACCGCUUGUGCGACACCAGGUUAUUGGAUCCAAACUCGUUGGCUGGAUCUCAGGAAGGCUUCUUGUUUCUUCUGCAUUUCUUUUUUCAGCUACUGAGGAGUUUAGAAACCUCAAAACGACUGAAUCAGCAGAAUGA